GCGAAUGGUUGUUUGUUUCGAUGUGCCCUGCGAUUGGCUGGCAACCAGUUCAGGGUGUACCCCGCCUCCUGCCCGAUGACAGCUGGGAUAGGCUCCAGCACGGCCGCGACCCUAGUGAGGAGAAGCGGUUCAGAAAAUGGAUGGAUGGAUGUUCAAACAACAUCUAAGCGAAAAUAGUGGGACUGCCAUUGGAUGAUUAACAAAGCAAGGUGAUAAAAGCCUGGCUGACUGGCACAUCACAUCGUCUCACAUCAGUUGCUCAAUGUGUGGAUACAGAUAUCUUUUCUUCAAGACAUUAUAUGCUGAUUGCUACUAUGUUUAUUUUUGAAAAUCAGGAUUUAUUGUGUUGUUGCAUCCUCAUGAAUGGUAGAAAAUAUAAAACAUAAUGCAUUUUCAUGUAUUGUAGUUAUGAAAACCAGAUUAUUGCAGGAAAUAUACAACUGAAGCCACGCAUUACCCAUUGUUUUGAAUGGUGUGUAUACUAAACGCAGGAAAGCCUUCAAACUCUUCUGUCCUUAUGCUCCCUCAGCCAUUCUCACAAAGCUUUACCUCUGACUGGGCAUUUGCAAGGAGUUACCUGCGAUAUUCCAUCUCCUCCGCAGAACCGACAUGCUGUAUUCCUCUACGCCCACUGUCAACUCAUCAGCCUGUUGGCUUGGACAGGAAGGAUCAGUGACCGGCUUUAGUGUCAUUUCCUCUCAGCUGUCAAAAUAAUGGUGAGUCGCCCAAGGGCGGCUCUAACACUCUUGAGGUCAGUGUUGAGACCUUUGCAAGAUUAACGGCCACGUGUCCUGAAUCUGCUGGACCUUCUGAGGAUCCUUAGAAAUUACCCUGAACUAAGAACACAUUGAUAAAGAUCUAAAUAUAGCCUUUUAAUUUAGUAUAACCUUUUCCAAAUGUUUUUUUUUUUGUAACAUAUAUUCAAGUAGCUAAACCUUUCCCCUUGGUCUUCAUACAACAAUAUUUUGCUUUCGGGAACUAAUGCCUUCCUAAAAUAAUCUCAUGCUUCCCGAAAUAAUUUUGUGCACACACACAAGCAUGUGACCAUUGUUUUCAGAAUGAAGUGACUGGUGAAACAAUUGGGUGUGGCCUGAUAGAUAACAUGGUCUCACAGCUCUCCACUGAAUCAAGGGGCGGUUUCUCUGGGGGGCGGCACUCCAACCCGGUAGCCAUAUAUAAUUUCCCGCUCUUCUUCACUUGUUUUGCAUUUUCCCAGUGCCUCACCUAUUGUGAACCUCACUGCACAUCACUGCAGGAGACAGGACACUAUAUCAGGAGAGGUCAUGUGGAUCACACAGAGGAGAGAACAUUCCUUCUGACCAUAGAUUGCUUAAAUGUCUUUGAAGGGCACCAAACUGUAUGUACAUGUAGUGCAGACGACGGCAACUGACUCCUUGACAAAGGUCUAAGAGCCAUGGGUGAUGCAAUAAAUAGAACAAUAAACAGAUUAAUAGGCGAAAAUGAAGCUGCACACUUACCUUUGAUGCUUCCACAGUUCCAGUUCCUAUUGAAGUGGAACAGCGAUCCAUUUUUAACAAAACAGCCUUACUCAAAUGUAUAUAACCAGUUAUUUUCCCCCCCAAAAAAUCUAGACUUUCUAUCGGGCAGCAGACUGCCUGACAGCAGAGUAACAACAUGGUGCCCCCUGACACUGAUUAGUUAACUUGUUUAAUUCUUAUUCUCAAGCACCAUAUUAAUCAGACUACAGUGGAAUCCUGCAGGCUCGAGUUUGAGCACCUGAACUGUUUGUCGGUCAUUUGAAGGGCACACAUUAACAAGCAACCAUUCGCACUCACAGUCCCACCUAUGGGCAAUUUAAAGUUUUCAUCUAACCUAUCAUGCAUGUUUUUGGGAUGUGGGAGGAAACUAGAGUACUUGGAGAAAACCCACGCAGGCACGGGAAGAACAUGCUAACUCCAUACGAGAGAGAGAGAUAGAGAGAGAGAGAGAGCAAGAGAGAGAGAGAGAGAGAGAGAGAAGUUCCAGAAGAUGCAUGUUUUACAGUUAAAAAUACGGCUAAUGUUGCCAUAUGCACAGCCAAAACAAUAGCAAAAACAUCUGCAACUUAUCGCAAGGUGUUUUCUCAAGUUAAGUUCAGUAACGCCAAGGUUAAGAAUCACAAACAAUAAACAACCAUAAAACUUACAGUGUCAUGCACAAGGUACCCAGACCACAUAAGCUUGCAAAACACACUAUGGAUAUGUUGUACAGCUCAUUCAAACAGAACAUUGUGUCAGAUUAAAACAUUUUUAUGACUUACAAGGUAAAUGUGUGUUACGAAAUGACAAUUCUUCCUAAAUUAACUAAAUAUUGAUGUACAGCAUUUCUCCUAUGAUCAUUAUCAUGAUUUUUAUUUACUUGUUUCCUUUUUUGUAUAUGAGUUUUGUUUUCCAUCCAUCCAUUUUCUGAGCCGCUUCUCCUCACUAGGGUCGCGGGCGUGCUGGAGCCUAUCCCAGCUGUCAUCGGGCAGGAGGCGGGGUACACCCUGAACUGGUUGCCAGCCAAUCGCAGGGCACAUAGGAAGAAACAACCAUUCGCACUCACAGUCAUGCCUACGGGCAAUUUAGAGUCUCCAAUUCAUGCAUGUUUUUGGGAUGUGGGAGGAAACCGGAGUGCCCGGAGAAAACCCACGCAGGCACGGGGAGAACAUGCAAACUCCACACAGGCGGGGCCGGGGAUUGAACCCGGGUCCUCAGAACUGUGAGGCUGACGCUCUAACCAGUCGGCCCCCGUGCCGCCUUGAGUUUUGUUUUAGUGAUGAUAAUUCAUAUAAACACAGAUGGAACUCCUAUGAAAUAUCGUCACACAUUUUGAAAGUCUGUAUUAAGGGAGCCUCUCCUGUUGUGCUAACUCAUUUCGAUUAGCCUAGCUCGUAGCAUACUAACAAGCUUGGCAUUACGAUUUAGAUCAACUCGGUUGGUGAAAAGUUUCCUCUUUAAUAAACAUUGAACAAUAUAAGCAAACAA